rnacentral:rRNA from 1 species
UACAGAGGUCUCAAGCGUUGUUCGGAUUCAUUGGGCGUAAAGGGUGCGUAGGUGGCGGGGCAAGUCGGAUGUGAAAUCUCAGGGCUCAACCCUGAAACUGCAUUCGAUACUGCGUGGCUCGAGUACUGGAGAGGAGACUGGAAUUUACGGUGUAGCAGUGAAAUGCGUAGAUAUCGUAAGGAAGACCAGUGGCGAAGGCGAGUCUCUGGACAGUUACUGACGCUGAGGCACGAAGGCCAGGGGAGCAAACGGG